rnacentral:lncRNA from 1 species
ACCAAACAGACGAGAUAUAUCUCUAUGUAUAUCUAAGUUUACAAAUAUGUGCGUCUCCCUUCCGAAAACACCUGCUGAUCAUGAAAUCACCAGAAAGGUAAGACAAGCUUUUCUUUGCAGUAAAAUUAAGUUAAAAUGAUACAGACCAAGGACAGAGAGAGAGGUGCUGGGUGGGCAGAGAAGAGAGAGACUUCAGAAACUUGGAAUGGCGAGUUUUUUCAGGUGGGAAUCACUCAUUCAUAUAAAAACACAACACCAAGUUUCAGGUGGGAAUCACCAACCCAUCACUUCUAUCAAUUCCUUUUUCACCCACUUCGAGUAUUUUAUGGAAUUUUUCACCAACCCCCACCAAGUUUGUGGAAUUGUUUUGACUUUCAAGUAUUUUUUAUUGAUAUAUUUUAUUUCAAAGAAAAGCUUGUCUUACCUUUAUGGAGCCUCUGAUAUAAGGAUGGUGUCUUUGCAAUAAAAUUUUAUGGAAUUGAUAUAUUUUUUAAUUAAAGAAUCCCAUGCAUUAAUUUUAUUUAAAUAAAGUUUAUUUACUUAAUAAAAAUAUAUAAUUAUGUGCUAAUCAUAAUUUUAUAUUUUCUAAUUAAUUUCAUUUUCUACAAAUCAAUGGUAAUCUAAUGAGGGCCUACUAUAAUUUCAUUUUCUUGUAUAAAGUAUUACCAUUAGAGGACAAUCCUCUAAUUGUUGAAAAAAGACAAACAUUUCAAUACCAAUUCCUCCUCCUAUCAUUCUUGACACAUAGUCUACAGUUACUAUCACUACACUUUCCAUCAUGGAAGCACCUUUUCCUUUUCACAAAGUCCGUUUCACACUCCACACUAGAUUUAAUAAACCAAUUAUUUAUUAAUCUUCCAAUUGCCCCAACUUCUCUAUCAACACAACCUAUGCCUAACGAUAUAUCCCUCUCCUUCACCAAAACAACCCACACAACUUCCCACUUGCAUUAACACUUAUGGCUAGUCACCUAUCCAAAAAUGAGACAAAAACGUUAUUUGCCUCUCCAUGCUAGCCAUUCUACUCAUAUUGAACCUAGAACUCUUAAAUCAAAACUUAAACAACCUCAUUAGGUGGUUCAUGUGGAGGAAGAAAUAAACAACUAGAGGUUAAAAAUGUCUUCUUAAUUGAUCAUCUCAAGGAAAUGACCCUAAUUUUCCUUCACACGUUUGUUUAAGCAUUUAUCACAAGCUCUUAUUCAACUUGGUUUCUUGAAUACCAAGACUGACUCAUCAGUAUUUAUUUUGCAUACAAGUUCUCUAAUUGUUUUAAUCUUAGUUUAUGUGGAUGACCUCGAACUCUUAAGUCAAAACUUAAACAACCUCAUUAGGUGGUUGAUAUGGAGGAAGAAAUAAACAACUAGAGGUUAAAAAUGUCUUCUUAACUGACCACCUCAAGGAAAUGACACUAAUUUUCCUUCACACGUUUGUCUUCUUAAAUGUUCCCUAAAUGGACCGAAGCAAGCCUCUUAAGUUUGGUUUAAGCAUUUAUCACAAGCUCUUAUUCAACUUGGUUUCUUUAAUACCAAGACUGACUCAUCAUUAUUUAUUUUGCAUACAAGUUCUCUAAUUGUUUUAUUCUUAGUUUAUGCGUAUGAUGUUAUUGUAACAAGUAGAAACCCUUGCUGUAUGAUCCAAUAGAUUAUCACUAGUUUCAACUCUAGAUUUGCUUUAAAGACCUUGGCUACCUAAAAUAUUUCUUGGAAAUUGAAGUCAAAUAUUUUCCAGUUGGUUUCUUAUAGACCUGCAUUUUUCACAAGCGUUCCUACUCGAUGGCGUGACUCGUUUUUUAGUGAAAAAAUAAUUUUAAAAAAGUUGGAGUCACCAUUUAUUUUUGUUUAUUUUUUCAAGGGAAAAUAAAAUAUAAAAUAAAACUUUAAAAAUGAUUCUUUAUUUGGAAAAAUAUGUAUUUGAAAAUCAAAUCCAAAUCCGGGGGUCAAGUUACAUAUCGAGAAGAUAUCAUAAGGUAGCAUUACUCUAAGCCCUAAAUAAAGGUCUCUACUAAUUAAAUUGAGGUAACUAUAAUUGAUUUGUAAAUCAAUGGAUGCUAAGAAUCACCAAAUAUAUAACAAAAUAAUAAUGAAAGCAUAAUUAAAGAUCACUCAAACAAGCCAUGCACACUCAAAGAAGCACAUAAACAAGGAAAGAACGGAAUGUACCUUAUAUCAUGCUAAGUGUUCUUAUAAAAUAACAUAAUGUUAACAAAUAAAGCAUAUCAAGGAAGCAUUCAAAACAAUACAUGCAUACCCAAAGAAUCAAACAAAGGAAAAAAAGAGGAAGUGUACCUUGAUAGCUAGCAAAGCACUUUCAUAAAAUCACUGAGGUUUAGUUCAUAAGUAAUAAUAAUAACAGAUAUAAAAUCAUAGGUAAGACUUGACAAUAGAUACAACAUAUGCAUAUCUCAAAUCAUGAAAUAAAGAGAAGAUAAGGUAUGAACAAGAUGAAACAAAAUACAAUAAACAUGAUUAAAAAUUCAAAAUUGGCUAACAAGUAUUCACUCACAAAAAUUAAUCUAAAUAAAAUAUCAAAUAAGGAAUUCCAAUCCAAAGAAAGGUUCAGAUAAUGUGUAUAAUAUGUUAACAAUGUAAAUCAAUAAUCGAAGGAGCUCAAAAGCAUGCAUAAAGGGGAUCGAAUUAUAAACAACAUAUAGACUAUCAUCAACAAGGCAAAACAAGGGUAUUUACAAAAUAAAUCUUAAAUAAAAACCUAAAAUUGUUAUUUCAUCAAAAUAAAAAAUGGAGAACAUCUUCAAUAUGUCUAGAUCAUAAUAAAAAAUUCCAAAUUGUUUGUUUGAAAUUUUUCUCUCUCAAAAACUGCAGUUUUUUUUUUUUUUUUUUUUUUGGGCCAAAUGAAAUGGGAGUUAGUAAAGAACAAGUUUAAAAGAAAAGGUAAAUUAACCUCAAUAGUAAGUAUCUAUUUAUACAAUUGUUCCAAGCUAAGAGAAUCAAGAUAGAGCUUACAAUUGUUAAAGCACAUAAUAUAUAUUUUAGGUUCAAAUCCUACAAACUCAACCUUUUAGGAAAUUAGUUGUUCAAUAUGAUAUCAAAACUUGGUUUUGGAAUUGGUCUCACCUCUCAUUAUCCGACAAUUUGGUCAAUGGUCUCUUAACCUAGGGCCUGGUGUAUGAGGGGAAUAUUGUUGGGUUUUCCCAUAUCUCUUAUAGAAGGAAUGGGGUGACUCCUUAUUAGUGUGAGGGAAAAUGUCACCCUUUAAGUUAAUUUUUGGGGUGAAAAGGCACAAAAUCACCCAAUAGUAGUAUUCCCAAUAUAUCUUUUUUUUUUUUUUUUUUUUAACUUUAUGAUAUCUUAACCUCAUUUGGUGGGAGGUGAGCCUCAUAUGGUGGCCCACUAUGGUCAGCUUGUUUGAUGAAGUCAAGUGGUAUCAAUACAUGUUUUUUUUUUCCCAAUUCAUUAAGUUCACGUGUAAGCCCGAAAAUAGAAGCUAGGCAUGUAUGAGGGAGAGGGAGGGUGUUAGAGAGAGAGAGAGAGAGGUGGGAGGUGAGCCUCAUAUGGUGGCCCACUAUGGUCACCUUGUUUGAUGAAGUCAAGUGGUAUCAAUACAUGUUUUUUUUCCCAAUUUAUUAAGUUCACAUGUAAGCCCGAAAAUAGAAGCUACACAUGUACGAGGGAGUGGGAGGGUGUUAGAGAGAGAGAGAGAGUAAUCAAACAUAUGGAAACGAAUUAAAUAAGAAAGCUAGCUAUGUAUCCAUGGAAGACAUGUACGUUCAUUUAAAAAGGGGAAUCUAGGAUGCAGAUGACAGAUAAAUAUCUGUUGUGAUAUCAAGACUAGAGAUAGAUGGGAUCAAACCACCUGCAUCCGCCAAAGGAGGUCGCUGCUGGGCUUAACCUGAAACCGGUUUUUCCAGAAAUUCUCACGAGCUGCUUCGACCUCAGCUCGCUCUUCUGUGGUUCCAUAGUCAGGAUCAAACUCCCAUAUCUGUCUUCCCACGAAGUUGUUGGUGCUGUAGAUGUAGGGAUCAUUGCCUCCAUCUGCAACCUUGAGCCUCCACAUUUUCUAACGCACCAAACAGACGAGAUAUAUCUCUAUGUAUAUCUAAGUUUACAAAUAUGUGCGUCUCCCUUCCGAAAACACCUGCUGAUCAUGAAAUCACCAGAAAGGUAAGACAAGCUUUUCUUUGCAGUAAAAUUAAGUUAAAAUGAUACAGACCAAGGACAGAGAGAUAGGUGCUGGGUGGGCAGAGAAGAGAGAGACUUCAGAAACUUGGAAUGGCGAGUUCCAGGUGGGAAUCACUCAUUCAUAUAGAAGCACAACACCAAGUCAGUCACCAACCCCCAUCACUU